UACGGAGGGAGCAAGCGUUACUCGGAAUUACUGGGCGUAAAGGGCGCGUAGGCGAUUUUGUAAGUCUUGUGUGAAAGCCCAAAGCCUAACUUUGGAAGUGCACAAGAUACUGCGAGAAUUGAGUUCCGGAGAGGAAGAUGGGAUUCCCGGUGUAGCGGUGAAAUGCGUAGAUAUCGGGAGGAACACCAGUGGCGAAGGCGAUCUUCUGGACGGAUACUGACGCUGAGGCGCGGAAAGCUAGGGGAGCAAACGGG
rnacentral:rRNA from 1 species